rnacentral:rRNA from 1 species
GACGAACGCUGGCGGCGUGCUUAGCACAUGCAAGUCGAACGGAAAGGCCCUGCUUUUGUGGGGUGCUCGAGUGGCGAACGGGUGAGUAACACGUGAGUAACCUGCCCUUGACUUUGGGAUAUCUUCAGGAAACUGGGGCUAAUACCGGGUAGGAGCUCCUGCUGCAUGUGGGGGGUUGGAAAGUUUCGGCGGUUGGGGCUGGACUCGCGGCUUAUCAGCUUGUUGGUGGGGUAGUGGCUUACCAAGGCUUUGACGGGUAGCCGGCCUGGGAGGGUGACCGGCCACAUUGGGACUGAGAGACGGCCCAGACUCCUACGGGAGGCAGCAGUGGGGAAUAUUGCACAAUGGGCGGAAGCCUGAUGCAGCAGCGCCGCGUGCGGGAUGACGGCCUUCGGGUUGUAAACCGCUUUCGCCUGUGACGAAGCGUGAGUGACGGUAAUGGGUAAAGAAGCACCGGCUAACUACGUG